GGGUGAGUAACGCGUGGGUAACCUGCCUUGUACUGGGGGAUAACAGCCAGAAAUGGCUGCUAAUACCGCAUAAGCGCACGGAGGCGCAUGCCUCUGUGUGAAAAACUCCGGUGGUAUAAGAUGGACCCGCGUUGGAUUAGCUAGUUGGCAGGGCAGCGGCCUACCAAGGCGACGAUCCAUAGCCGGCCUGAGAGGGUGAACGGCCACAUUGGGACUGAGACACGGCCCAGACUCC
rnacentral:rRNA from 1 species